CCUCCAAGACCAUCCUUGUCUGUUUUACUGUACAAUUCCGAUUUCGUAGUAGACACAAGUGAAUAUAUUCUUUUCAUUGGUAAUUUUUUUCAGACGAAUAUAUUAUUAGAAAAAAAAAUACAACAAUUUUUGUAAUAAUAAUAACAAUCAUUGUCAUUCUAUUAUCGUUGAAAAGAUCAGUUUAAUUUCUACAGUACUCUAGUAGUAGAUCACUAGCCAAGAUGAAACUAACAAACUUUCUUGUGAUCUUGAUGUUAGUAAUAUUGGCAGUUUGUGCACAUGCUGCUCCAAAGAAGCGCGGGUUCCCUCAGUUCCCUGGCUACGGAACAUUCAAUCCCAAGGGCAAGCUGCCUGUACCAUUUCCAAAAUUCUAACAUCUGAGACACGAAGGGAUGAUUUAUUACUAAAAUAAUUUGCGAUUGAUAACAACAAUUUGUCUUUAAAAAAUAAAUGGUAUAAUAUAACGAAAAGCUGUUAAAUAA